rnacentral:lncRNA from 1 species
GACACUCAUGCCCCUCGAAGAAGAGUGUGGUAGAAGCCUGUUGCUCAAAGUGAUGCUGAAAGAACUUUGAUAGGACACGGAAUUAAGGAAGGCAAACUUCAAAUGCAUGCUUGGGUUCGAUCAAAGUUGCAGGAGACACUCGGGUCCUGUGGGACGUGCUGGAGCAUGAAUGAAAACCUUCCUUUAAUCAAGAUGCUUGUCUAGGCUGAACCCAUUUUAGUCACACUGGGAGUGUGGGUGGGACAUGUACCUUCAAUAUCUUGGUUGUCACCAGGGAAACCAUGGAGACAAAGCACUCAUCCAUUCAUCAGGGGUGAAGUAGCACCUCCUGUUACUCCACACAGGCUCACCUCAUCCAUGUAGAGCACCAUUGAUGGGCUUCAUUGACAAAACCUAUCAAUGCCCCAGAAAUUCCCGAGGAAAUGAGCUUGACAUCCUUCCACAUUGGGAAGGAAUCAUGCAGUCACAAAUGCCACCAGGUGAGCAUCCAAGUUCUUCUGGCUUUUGUAACUCUCCUGCAAACUUCU